rnacentral:rRNA from 1 species
ACGGGAGGCAGCAGUGGGGAAUAUUGGACAAUGGGCGCAAGCCUGAUCCAGCGACGCCGCGUGAGUGAAGAAGUAUUUCGGUAUGUAAAGCUCUAUCAGCAGGGAAGAUAAUGACGGUACCUGACUAAGAAGCCCCGGCUAACUACGUGCCAGCAGCCGCGGUAAUACGUAGGGGGCAAGCGUUAUCCGGAUUUACUGGGUGUAAAGGGAGCGUAGACGGUAUGGCAAGUCUGAUGUGAAAACCCAGGGCUCAACCCUGGGACUGCAUUGGAAACUGUCAAACUAGAGUGCAGGAGAGGUAAGCGGAAUUCCCAGUGUAGCGGGGAAAUGCGUAGAUAUUAGGAGGAACACCAGUGGCGAAGGCGGCUUACUGGACUGUAACUGACGUUGAGGCUCGAAAGCGUGGGGAGCAAACAAGAUUAGAUACCCUGGUA